UCUCUCCUGCCAGUCCUAAGCAUAUGGAAGUCAUGAGUCAGCCCUAAGCUAUUGAAUGAUGAGUUUGGAUGGAAGAAAGAAACUGCAGCAUUUUAAAGAACAUCAUUUGGACCCACCUACAUUUUUAGCCCCCACUAAUAGCAGCAAGGUCCAAAACUAAUUCUGCCCUGAAUGAAAAGAGGUCACAGCUCCAUCUCCCCGUGGCAGGCUGUAGAGCUUGGCUGACCAAGCAGGCUUGGUAUCACUCCUGCUGGCCUCAGCAUUUUGAUGUGUACCUACUCUCCAGGAGUCUGGAAGGAUGUUUCCAUGAACAUACAGAAGAACAAGGUACAGAGAAUGAUGCAGGGAAGAGUAACACCACUCAAGGCAGAAACAGCAUCUGGACAAGAAAACAGUAUAUAGGCCAGAAGUCUUCAACCUGGAAGAACAAAAUCAAAGAAGGAUGAAAUAAAGGUCUACAAAAUCAUAAUUUGGAAACUAGGAGCAUCAAAUAAAAUGUUCAGAGAUCCAAGAAAAAGGAAUUAGCUUUUUGAAUGAUAUGUGGUUUAACUUCAGAACUCAUUGUGUGUGGGUAUUGUCUACAGGAAAGCUUACAUAAAUUAAAGAAAAUUUUAGACACAUUUUCUGAUUAAAAAAAAAAGUGCACAGAAGGUUACUAGGCAUGAAAAGAUACUGUCUCAAAAAAUGCCUAAACCGUGGGUGUCUGGAAGUUCAGCAGACAUACCCAGGGGUUUUUUUUUUCUCUAUUUUUCAUUGGUUGCUGUUAAAGACAGAGUACUUGGCUAGGUGGACCUCAUGUCUGAAUCCCUGAAAUUACUUCAUGCACUUCAUGCUUCAAAAAACUAAACGCUUAACUUCCUGCCUGUUGUUCAGACCUUAUUUUCUCAGCUCUUAUUUUCUACAAGUUUUAUCAUUGUAUAGCUGUCAAAAUACUGGAUUAACAUCAUUUCUACAUUAUAUUGAUAAAAAAUGCAUAGUUGGUAUUGUGUUUUAUGAAAAGGAGGACCUGGUUGCAGGACUCAGUAGCUAGCUUUUAAAAUUUAAAUCCACUGGGGGAGCAAGUAAGAGCCCAGGAUUUCUAAAAAUACACUUGGCUUUUUUGGUGGAUUAGCAACUGAAGGAUUUUCACAUGAAGAGACAAACUUCAGGGACUAAUUAUCUAGCGUACAGGAAAGAGAGACGAUGAUAAGCACCAACUACAGCUAAAGAUAAGGGACAGGCAGCCAAGAGUCAGAAAUGCUACACCAUUACCACAGCCAUGGCAAGGAUUUUGGGGGCCAUAAGCACAUUGCCCCAGCACAUAGCAAGAAACUGCAUCCAAAAAAGGGCUUCACAUCCCUCGCUCAGUGAGCAAGGCCAGUCAGAUACAUGGCAAUGUCACAGAAAAACACUGCAUAACAGCAAGCCAACUGCAUGGGUAUGAUAACAUGUAAUUUGUGUGGUUUUGCAACACCCUGAGCAGCUCACUAUUCAAGCAGUAGGUGACCAAAGUUGGGCUUGGAGGAAAAAAUGUGAUGGUACAUACGGUUUUCAUGUAGGAAAAUGUCAUACAUCAGUCAUACUUCAUAAGACACUGGCAAUGCUUUCACUGGCUGCUACUGAGGGUCCUUUCAAACUGGAGGAUGAAGCCCCUGCCUAAAAUGUAGUUUUGUAGAGCCACAUCCUUACGCACAAAAGCACAGUGUUUCAUCAGUACAAUGUCUCUGGCAAGAUACUGCCAAGAGACUGAUGGAAAGUUUGAUUGCAGCCUGAUCAAAUAACCAAGGGGGAAAAUAAUGUCAAAUAAAACUUCUGAGCCUACACAGAGACCUGUUAGCUCAUGACAGUCCAGUUCUCUUCCGGAAGCAUUAGAGGGGGGAAAAAAGGAUAAAAACUUAAACUAACUAGAAGAAUCUUAAAUAACAGGGCAGAAUUAGAGAAAAGCACUCUGAAAUCUAGCACUUACUAAAGUUAAAAGACUGAAUAAUAACAGCAUAAAUAUGGAAAAAUAUUUAAAAUUAAGAGCAAAUUGGGCAUUAAAAAUAUUCAAUACAAGAGAAGAAUGAAGAUGAUCCAUCACUCUUUCCUGACCCAAAAGACAGCACAAAAUUAUUCUAUCUUAAAAUAGAUUCUCACUGUUACAUCUUUGCUCUUUUUUGACAUUUACAUGGAAAUAUAAGUAUAUUUCAGUAUGAAAUGGUUAAAUGACCACACUAACUUGCUUCCCAUUAGCAUUUUUCACUGUUGCCAUCAAUCAGUUGCAGAUGGUCCAUUACCAGCUUCUGAGAUGAAAUGUAGUGUCUCAGUACUGCCAGGCACACACCAUGCUAUGGGAUGCUAAUUAGACCUUAAAAUGUACAUUAGAAAUGCCCAGCUUAAUUUUCAGAGGAAACUAUCAGUGUCUAAUGCAUGAAAGGACCCAGUCAGUAACUUCAGAGUUACAUUUAGAUGUAAGCAUUUUCUGCCUCUACAGGAAGUUCCCUUUUAUUUUGAUAAUUUUGCUAAGAGCCUUUUGCAAACUGCCUGAACCUUGCUGAGCUUUUACUUCCCAUUAGCUGCCACAAGCUAGCCAAAAUCUUUUUUCCCUCUGGUGAAAAUGAGGUUGGAGAGUCACAUUCACAUUUUUCAUCAAGGCCCUGAAGGUAAGCAAACGUGCCGUAAGGGGACCCUGGGUUUCAUCUCAUGGCUUUUCCCAAACCUCCAGCAUUCUUAGGCUGGCACCAGGCUGUGGAACCAGAGUAAGCCUUGCCUGACCUCCCUCGUGCCCUUCCUCAUGUGUCAAAUGGAUGCUCCUGGCUCUGUGCUCAGGGACCCCUGGGGUGUGUGCAUGCACAGCCACACACAUCUCACACAGGCAGUGUAAGAGCCAACAUCAACACACACCCAGCUUGCAAUAAAUAUGUGGACAGUGUGUGGAACGGCCUUUGCAGACAGCAGGAUAAGCUGAACACAACUGACAACCGGUUUAUUCAACUAUUACAUUAACUAAAUUUAAAUUGGCCUACACUGUGAUGUGGAUAACCUCAGAGAGAGUGAGCCAAAAAACAUUUAUGACACCUUGUUUUUAACCAACCCACCUGACCUCUCUCCCACUUUCUGUAAAAAUUUCUUUUGUCCUCUAGUUUAGGCUUCAAAAUAUGGGCUUCAUCACAACAUGUUUCUUAUUUUGCAAACAAAACACUGGAAACUGAAAGAAAAACCCAAGAAAGCUUUUAAAGAAUUCAGAAGCAUUCUGUAGUGCUGUCUUUAUUCUUCGAGUGCCUACACUGAACAAAAAUAAUGUGCUUUAAAUUACUGCAUGAAUGAAAGAAGUGUCUCCACUUACAAAAAUAAAUAGCAGCUGCAAUACUCUUGGCUUUUAAGGUUGGGGAAAUCAGAAGCUUUGGAUUUCUAAAGAAAUCAACUUCUCUGUUCCUUAUUGGGCGCAAUCAUUCAAAUUUAUGCCCUCAGUACAGGGCCAAUUUACAAUGAGAGCUCACUGUAAUUUAUUACUACCAUAUGCCAAGCUGUUGAGUUGGGAUACAAUGUCCCAAACAAAGAGAAGUUGGUUAUAGUAUGACCAUGCUCCUUUUCUCAUAGGAAUGUCCCAUGACAUGUAAGAUGGCAGCAGGCCUUGUAAAACUACUGAAUUAGUUUUGUCACCAAGAGACAAUUCUUUGGAAGAGGAAUUGCUGGCAGUCAGUUGAAGUGGCCAUGAAGGUGCUUUGCAUCAUUGGGCUGGUCAUUGUAGAGGGAGUAUUAAGGAAACCCAGCCCCCAAAGACUAACAGGGUUUUUAAUUGCUGCAGGCCAUCAGCCUGCUCUGGGAUAACAGUGACCCUGUCCUGGCCAGGUGUGACUUCACCAGAUGAGCUGAGAGGGCUCUGGCCCCCUCCCUUACAGCACUGUUUAGGGAGCAGGAUACAAAGGGUGUCAUUGCCCAUAGCUGCCACUCUUCCUCCCCACUGCAGCUGGCCUUGUCCUGUACAUCCAGCUGCUGCCAUUAACGCAAUUUCAAUUAUUGCUACCAGUUGCUAUUUAAGUCUAAAAUCCAAGGGUGAAGUCUAGUGCAGGCAAGAAUUGACAAACUUACAACCUACUCUAAGCAAAUAAUGAAUCCCUGAACCAAUUUUUCUACUUUGCGGGAUGGGGGGGGGGGGGGGGGGUGGUGUGUGGUUGAGUUGUUUAACAUACCAAAGUAUC